GCGGCGAGCGAAGCGGGAAGAGCUCAAAUUUAUAAUCUGGCACCUUCGGUGUCCGAGUUGUAAUCUCUAGAAAUGUUUUCCGCGUUGGACCGCACACAAGUCUGUUGGAAUACAGCGGCAUAGUGGUGAGACCCCCGUAUAUGGUGCGGACGCCCAGCGCUUUGUGAUACAUUUUCGAAGAGUCGAGUUGUUUGGGAAUGCAGCUCAAAUUGGGUGGUAAAUUCCAUCUAAAGCUAAAUAUUGGCGAGAGACCGAUAGCGAACAAGUACCGUGAGGGAAAGAUGAAAAGCACUUUGGAAAGAGAGUUAACAGUACGUGAAAUUGUUGGAAGGGAAACGCUUGAAGUCAGACUUGCUUGCCGAGCAAUCGGUUUGCAGGCCAGCAUCAGUUUUCCGGGAUGGAUAAUGGUAGAGAGAAGGUAGCAGUUUCGGCUGUGUUAUAGCUCUCUGCUGGAUACAUCUUGGGGGACUGAGGAACGCAGUGUGCCUUUUGGCGGGGGUUUCGACCUCUUCACACUUAGGAUGCUGGUGGAAUGGCUUUAAACGACCCGUCUUGAAACACGGACCAAGGAGUCUAACAUGCUUGCGAGUAUUUGGGUGUCAAACCCGGAUGCGUAAUGAAAGUGAAUGGAGGUGGGAACCGCAAGGUGCACCAUCGACCGAUCUGGAUUUUUAAUGAUGGAUUUGAGUAAGAGCACGUAUGUUGGGACCCGAAAGAUGGUGAACUAUGCCUGAAUAGGGCGAAGCCAGAGGAAACUCUGGUGGAGGCUCGUAGCGGUUCUGACGUGCAAAUCGAUCGUCAAA
rnacentral:rRNA from 1 species